UCUUUGUUAGUAUAUCGGUUAGUACACGCGCCUGUCAUUAUGUAGGCCGCGCGAAAGCGGGGUUCGACUCCCCGACAGAGAG